UACAGAGGGGGCAAGCGUUGUUCGGAAUUAUUGGGCGUAAAGGGCGCGUAGGCGGCGCGGUAAGUCACUUGUGAAAUCUCUGAGCUUAACUCAGAACGGCCAAGUGAUACUGCAGUGCUAGAGUGUGGAAGGGGCAAUCGGAAUUCUUGGUGUAGCGGUGAAAUGCGUAGAUAUCAAAGAGGAACACCUGAGGUGAAGACGGGUUGCUGGGCCAACACUGACGCUGAGGCGCGAAAGCCAGGGGAGCAAACGGG
rnacentral:rRNA from 1 species